rnacentral:rRNA from 1 species
AUUGAACGCUGGCGGCAUGCUUUACACAUGCAAGUCGAACGGCAGCACGGGCUUCGUCCUGGUGGCGAGUGGCGAACGGGUGAGUAAUAUAUCGGAACGUACCCAGCAGUGGGGGAUAACGUAGCGAAAGUUACGCUAAUACCGCAUACGAUCUAUGGAUGAAAGCAGGGGACCGCAAGGCCUUGUGCUCCUUGAGCGGCCGAUAUCUGAUUAGCUAGUUGGUGAGGUAAAGGCUCACCAAGGCGACGAUCAGUAGCUGGUCUGAGAGGACGACCAGCCACACUGGAACUGAGACACGGUCCAGACUCCUACGGGAGGCAGCAGUGGGGAAUUUUGGACAAUGGGCGCAAGCCUGAUCCAGCAAUGCCGCGUGAGUGAAGAAGGCCUUCGGGUUGUAAAGCUCUUUUGUCAGGGAAGAAACGGUAGAGGCUAAUAUCCUUUGCUAAUGACGGUACCUGAAGAAUAAGCACCGGCUAACUACGUG